AGUGAACGCUGGCGGUAGGCCUAACACAUGCAAGUCGAACGGCAGCACAGUAAGAGCUUGCUCUUACGGGUGGCGAGUGGCGGACGGGUGAGGAAUACAUCGGAAUCUACUUUUUCGUGGGGGAUAACGUAGGGAAACUUACGCUAAUACCGCAUACGACCUACGUGUGAAAGCAGGGGAUCUUCGGACCUUGCGCGAUUGAAUGAGCCGAUGUCGGAUUAGCUAGUUGGCGGGGUAAAGGCCCACCAAGGCGACGAUCCGUAGCUCGUCUGAGAGGAUGAUCAGCCACACUGGAACUGAGACACGGUCCAGACUCCUACGGGAGGCAGCAGUGGGGAAUAUUGGACAAGGGGCGCAAGCCUGAUCCAGCCAUACCGCGUGGGUGAAGAAGGCCUUCGGGUUGUAAAGCCCUUUUGUUGGGAAAGAAAAGCAGCAGGUUAAUACCCCGCUGUUCUGACGGUACCCAAAGAAUAAGCACCGGCUAACUUCGUG
rnacentral:rRNA from 1 species